AUUGAACGCUGGCGGCAGGCCUAACACAUGCAAGUCGAGCGAGCGGCGGACGGGUGAGUAAUGUCUGGGAAACUGCCUGAUGGAGGGGGAUAACUACUGGAAACGGUAGCUAAUACCGCAUACCAUCAGAUGUGCCAAGAUGGGAUUAGCUAGUAGGUGGGGUAAUGGCGCACCUAGGCGACGCUCCCUAGCUGGUCUGAGAGGAUGACCAGCCACACUGGAACGUAGACACGGUCCAGACUCCUACGGGAGGCAGCAGGGGGGAAUAUUGCACAAUGGGCGCAAGCCUGAUGCAGCCAUGCCGCGUGUGUGAAGAGGGCCUUCGGGUGGUAAAGCACUUUCAGCGGGGAGGCGUUACCCGCAGAAGAAGCACCGGCUAACUCCGUGCCAGCAGCCGCGGUAAUUC
rnacentral:rRNA from 1 species